rnacentral:rRNA from 1 species
UACGGGGGGGGGAAGCGUUGUUCGGAAUUACUGGGCGUAAAGGGCUCGUAGGCGGCCAACUAAGUCAUACGUGAAAUCCCUCAGCUUAACUGGGGAACUGCGUGUGAUACUGGAUGGCUUGGAUUUGGGAGAGGGAUGCGGAAUUCCAGGUGUAGCGGUGAAAUGCGUAGAUAUUGGGAGGAACCCCAGUGGCGAAGGCGGCUCGCUGGACCGGUUCUGACGCUGAGGCGCGAAAGCGUGGGGAGCAAACGGG